rnacentral:tRNA from 1 species
UCCCAGGUGACUCAGUGGUAAAGAAUCUGCCUGUAGUGCAGGAGAUGAGGGUUUGAUCCCUGGCUUGGGAA